ensembl:snoRNA SNORD115 Small nucleolar RNA SNORD115
AGGUCUCUGAUGACAAAUGAAUGUCACUAAGAGAGGUGAUGACAUAAAAAUCAUACUAUGUAACAUGACACUGAGUCCC